GUGAGGAAUCUUCCACAAUGGGCGAAAGCCUGAUGGAGCAACGCCGCGUGAAGGAUGAAGGUCUUCGGAUUGUAAACUUCUUUUAUGAGUGAAGAAUAUGACGGUAACUCAUGAAUAAGCACCGGCUAACUACGUGCCAGCAGCCGCGGUCAUACGUAGGGUGCAAGCAUUAUCCGGAGUGACUGGGCGUAAAGAGUUGCGUAGGCGGUUAUGCAAGCGAAUAGUGAAACCUGGUGGCUCAACCACACAGACUAUUAUUCGAACUGCAUAACUCGAGAAUGGUAGAGGUAACUGGAAUUUCUUGUGUAGGAGUGAAAUCCGUAGAUAUAAGAAGGAACACCAAUGGCGUAGGCAGGUUACUGGGCCAUUUCUGACGCUAAGGCACGAAAGCGUGGGGAGCGAACCGGAUUAGAUACCCGGGUAGUCC
rnacentral:rRNA from 1 species